rnacentral:rRNA from 1 species
GCAUACUGGCUACUGUGCUGGCUGGUGAAUGGCUCGGCUCGAGAGCCGAUGACGGACGUGCCAAGCGGCGAUACGCUCAGGGGAGCUGCAUGGAAGCGAAGAACCUGAGAUUUCCGAAUGGGAAUCCCACAACACUUGCAUCUAGCAAGGGGGAACGCUCUGAACUGAAACAUCUCAGUAAGAGCAGGAAGAGAACGCAAUUGCGAUGUCGUCAGUAACCGCGAGUGAACGCGACACAGUCCAAACCGAAUCCGACAGGAUAUGUGGUGUAUGGGCACACACAAUCGCGUGGCGGACCGAUCAGAACUCUCCUGGAACGGAGGGCGAGACAGGGUGACAGCCCCGUACGAUCUGUCCGACGCGUGAGGUGUGACCCGGAGUAGCGAGGGUUGGAUAUCCUUCGUGAAGGACGCAGGCAACGACUGCGAAGACUAAACACUCCUCGAGACCGAUAGCGCACACGUAGCGUGAGCGAACGAUGAAAAGCACCCCGCCUUUCUUGACCAGCACCGCCUGGCCGUACUUCCGGCCGUCCUCAGAGCCCUCCUCCCCAUCGGGGUCAUGUGGCCACUC